AGUGCAGCCUCCAGCCAGAAGGAUGGGGUGGCUCCCACUCCUGCUGCUUCUGACUCAAUGCUUAGGGGCCCCUGGGCCUUCCACUACAACGUGAGCAGCCAUGGUUGCCAACUGCUGCCAUGGACUCAACACUCGCCCCACACGAGGCUGCGGCGUUCUGGGCGCUGUGACCUCUUCCAGAAGAAAGGCAAGUGGGGGUGGAGAGGGGCAGGGUGGGAGACAGGGGACCUCAGCCCAAGUUGAUCUUCUGUCUCUUGCUCCCAGACUACGUACGGACCUGCAUCAUGAACAAUGGGGUUCGGUACCGGGGCACCAUGGCCACGACCGUGGGUGGCCUGCCCUGCCAGGCUUGGAGCCACAAGUUCCCGAAUGAUCACAAGUGAGACAAACACCUUCCCUCCGUCCCGGCCUGGGGCCUUCCCCCAGCACACACUAUAGUGAUGCUCUGGGCCCUCAGGUACACGCCCACGCUCCGGAAUGGCCUGGAAGAGAACUUCUGCCGUAACCCUGAUGGCGACCCCGGAGGUCCUUGGUGCUACACAACAGACCCUGCCGUGCGCUUCCAGAGCUGCGGCAUCAAAUCCUGCCGGGAGGCCGCGUGUGUCUGGUGCAAUGGCGAGGAAUACCGCGGCGCGGUAGACCGCACGGAGUCAGGGCGCGAGUGCCAGCGCUGGGAUCUUCAGCACCCGCACCAGCACCCCUUCGAGCCGGGCAAGUUCCUCGACCAAGGUCUGGACGACAACUAUUGCCGGAAUCCUGACGGCUCCGAGCGGCCA
rnacentral:sRNA from 1 species